CUCUAGCAUGGCAGUGGCGGCGGCGCCGAGCACGCGCCUGGGCGACGGAGCCGAGCGAGCGCCUGGUCAACGGUGAGCGCGCGCCUGAAAUCAGCCCCCGAAACCCUAUCCCCAAUCCUCACAGCCGCCGCCUCUCUCGUCUCUCCUCUCACGCUCGCGUCCCCUCCUCUCUCCCGCUCGAGCCUCCAUGGCGCCGCUGGUGCUGUCCCAUCGCCCCUCCUCUCUCCCGCUCGAGGUCCCUUGUCUCCGCCCCGUGGAGCUUGUCCCUGGACGGAUUCGGGAGGAGGUGGGCGCGAAGGGGCGGAGGAGGUGGGCGCGAAGGGGCGGAGCAGGUGGUCCUGGCCAGGAGGCGUGUCCCAGCGGAGAGACGCAGCGAGAGGAGGGCAGGGAUAGGGCGGACAAAGAUCCUCUAUGUGGCAGUAAGGGAAGGGUAGGGACGGGGAGGAUUGGGACGGGACAGAGGAGAAAUCAUGUGUCCUCAGUCACGAAGAUUGGGAGGAUGCAAACAUGGCUUCUUCAUCCAGGACCUGCAGGUCUGAGAAGGGGAUUUUUUUUACAAACUAUGUCGGUGGUUUGCUGGGUAACAGACUGGGGGAUCGAGGCUGAUGUGAGCUGGCAAUGGCGGAGGUUCAAGAGGAGCGCGUCGUCGCAACCUCCAGGAGUAGCCUCAGCCGCUGCUGUCACCAGCGCCAUACUUCUCUCAGCUACAUAGAUGUGAGUGCAUUCACCCAGUAUUGAGGUUCCUCUCUUGCUGCUACUCCACCUCGAGGAGCGCCGUCUCGGUCGCCGGACGGUCAUCAUUGUGUCGAUAUGGCUGCGUGUAUAUAUUCGGUUACCUUUUCUCCGCAGCUUAGUAAAUGGGAGAAACGGAGGCCUACACAGCGGCAAGGCGGAGUUGAAACUUCUGUAAGAUUUCUAUGUGUGUGCUUGCUUUCCUGAAAUUAGUUCAUAUUGUGUGUGCUUGGUUUGACCUCAACAAUGGAGCUAAACUUGGAGGCAUACAACGGAAGUUCAUAAUUAAUGACAUAAAUUAUAUGCCCUUAUUUACUAGCAAGAAUUUUCAUCAGAAUUGUUGGAUACUUUAUUUUCUUACUAUAUUCAUGAUGCGACACUAUUUUGUACUGUUUGGAAACACUUUGAAAUGAUGUUGGUAGCUUCAAAUUUUUCACAGCAUAUGAUUUAUAAACCCACAAGUCAUUGUGGGUUUGCAAACAGUACUGCCAAAAUAAUACCUUGCUCCAUAAUGAGUAAUGAUUUCUUGGAGGUAAUCUUGGUCUGUUCGUAGUACAUUCUAAUAUAUCUACCAUGUUAUCUUCUGAUUGACAAUAAUGUAUUAUUGUAAAAUUAGUUUUCUCCAUGUUCGAUUUUAUAAAUGAUAUGCCACAGACUUUAUGGCCUCCUCAUCCUCUCCAUGUCACCAAGGAUGCCGGCCAGCAGUACAACAAUCUCUUCUUCGAAGAAAACCAUUAGGUUCUCUCCCUCUUGAAGUAUCUUGUGUGGAGUCCUUGCUCAACGCUAGUGUGCUCUAGAGCUCUGUGCCACGGCCGACAAAGUGGGUGACCUGCAGCCCUGCAUACUGGCUACCACAUCCUCCCAUCAGAACUUUGCUAAAUUUGGUGAUGCAGCUUGACAGUAGAAUAUGACAUCCUAUCAAUCUUUCGGUAUUUUGUUCAUGCUCUGCUUUCUUUAUCGGAAACAUGGGUUAGUAAUAGUGGCAUAGAUGGACUGGAUGGUGGAUUAGGUGUCGCAAAGGCUGAGAUGCAUAUACCCUCGCGUUCUCAGCUGGAAUCAUCCCUCAUGCCAAGCAACUUUACUAGAUGGGUCAAAUUAAAGGAAUGGUGUUGUUCAGCCAAGAUUGUUACCAUGCGUCUAUUUUUUUCUACUUGACUGAAAAGUGACUGCUGCCAAUGAGAACAGUGACCUUUUUGAGUUUCUCGUGGGAGGAAGCCGAGUAAAACUACCAAGAUACCGGCGAGAACUUCAAGACAAUGAUCCUUGGUGCUUGUUUAUGACUGAAAUACCCAAACCUAACAUUUCAUUCGUUUUUGCCUUCUGCAAGGAUAUGAGAGGAGGUAUUCAUGCCAUGGGCAGUGGUGAAGCUAACCUGACUGGAUUUCCCAGGGAAACCACCAAAGGUCCUGGCCAAUGAUUUUUUGCCCACUAAAAGUUUUGAGUAGCUAUUCUAAACGGUUCUAUAACUGAAACAGGAAUUCUGGGCAGAGCCAGGGCAACUGCCCAGCCUUGCCGGGCUGAAUCUCCGCCACAGGUCAUGGGAUAUCAAAUUACUGGAUUGAUGUCAUGGGGUAUCAAAUUACCUUUUUUGCCAAGAUCUAUUAAGUGUUGUUAAUUUCCCUUGGUUUAUGAAAAUGAUUCGUUUAUACUACUAUCUUGUCCUUUAGGUAGCACACCACGCCACUAUAUGUGUUUACCCUCUCCAAUAACACAAUGUAUUUCUAGAUUUGUGGUACCUAUUUCUUUCAUUUCUUUCUUUGUGGCUAUUUACCUAACAGAGAGAAAAGUUAUGCCGGAGUUAUAUUACCAUUCUCAUUCAACUAAUAGCUUCUCUUUUCUAAAAUUCAGUUAGAGUUAUAUUACCCCUCUCUCAGUUAUGUAACUAUUAUUUACAAUAUGUUCUAUGUAAUAUAUGUAGAUCUUUGUGAAUCAUGCAUGCUCAUGUAGGUGCUUGAUAAACAACAAGAUGAACCUGAUCAGCUGUAGGAUAGUAGAUAUUGACUUUAAGUGAUGAACCUCUGGCUAUGGAGCAGAUUUUUCGCCUUGGGGAAAUAUGCUUAAAGUCCAUUUAAUUUUCUCAUGUAGCGUAUUAUGCGCUUGAGGUUUCAAUGUUGUCAGCUAACUAAUGCAAUUAUGAUGUGUUGAUGAUUAUUACUGAACCUCUGGCAAUUAUUCAUUUUCACUUCUUUAGCUCAUGGUUCUUUAAAUCAGUCCAUCAAUGAUUCCUUGGCAUGAUAAUCUUGGAGCUCGCGCCUUAUUUCAGUAUGUUACCUUAUUGCAAAGGUUGGAGCAAGGAGCGGAACAAUACAUGAGCCUCUUUCAGUAUGACUAGAACAAGGCCUCAUUUGGAUUGUCUGAGACACACAUCAGUUAAUGUCUCAGAUUUAAAGCCCAUGUUCCUGUUAUGUUGGUGCAGAUUCCGACUUUUGUCUAGGAUCCUUUGGGAAAUGAAGUUAUGGCAGCUAUCAGAGCAAAAAGAUUGCUAUAUAUGGUGUUUUACAAACUGUUUGCCGGGACUCCAAGGCAAGCCCUAAAAUGUUCAUCUGUUUUCCUGAUUGAAUAGAAGUUUUGCUACUUCAUUUGUGAUUGCUUGUGUUUAAUCCUAAUUUCAACUUAUCAGCUUUGUUUUGUAGAAUCUAUAAACUGUGUUAUCAUUUGUCCAACUGAUUUUUAUCUGUCGGUACAUAAACUAAAUUGGUGCGAAUUUUAUGGGAUCCAAGGUGCACCCAAAAACUGAGAUUUGCAUGUGUAAAACUAUCACAUAUUUGAUCUUUCUGGCGACACAUACAAUCAUCAUAACCUAGGCACUGUCCAUAAGCUUUUUUAACUAUGUUUAUGAUUUCGUCAGAUUUUUUCUCAAUUUCAUCCUAUUGACUUUUUUUUAUGAAACCAAAAGUAUAUUAUCAUUUUUGCCUAAUUUUUAGCAUUGAUAUAUAAAAUGUAAAUCAGAACGAAUUUCACGGGAUCGUGCGCCAAGGCGCACAUCUAAUAUUGUGGAAAAUUUAGUAAGUAUCCGUCCAUCUCUUUCUAAAAUGUUGUUUUCUAUGCCUAUGGUAUUCUGUUCAGGCUUGGAUCAUGUGGCAGAUUUGAGUUUUCUCUGAUCAUGUGGUAACUUGUGGAAGGUUUUAGAGGUCAGGACGCUUCGUGCUUGAAACUAUAGAAUAACAGCUCAAAAUGUAAAGCACAUUCAGUUUGAGCAAAUAAAUAGGCUCUCAUGUAGUCAUGUUAAAAUAUAUUGAUUUGGCAUGCUACAACAUCAAGAUUUAUUCAUGAUAUUCUUGAGCAUCAAUUUUAGAACAUAGUUAAGUUACCCGUCUUUUUUGUUAAUGGGUAGCUCUGAAAAAAUAUAGGUCACUGUUUCUUGCAAAACAUUCUCACACCUUUGUCUAUCUGAUGCAUAAUUAUGGAAUUAUGUUUCUUGCGCAACUUCUUCAAUCUUCGAUGCUUAAUUAUGGAUCAUUGUUUCUUGCAAUUCUUCUUCACGCUUUUUUCUGUAUAAUUCUUAAUUAUGCAUCAUUAUUUCUUGCAUAACUUAUUCACGUUUUUUGUCUAUCUAAUGCUUCAUUACGGAUCAUGCCGCUUGCAUAGCUUAGCUCCUACUCUGGCAAUACCUCUGCAUGAUACAAUUAUGUGUUGCUUCCUGAUUACAGAAGGGGCAUAGAGAAGAUAUGGCUUCUUAACCUUGCUGGCCCGUUCUCUGUCAACUACGGAGAAGAUACCCAAGAUACAUUGAUCUAGAUGUGGCUGCAAUCCUCUGUUCCGCAUAAAUGAGAUUGCAACUAAUUUGAUAUACACUUGUGUUCCAAUGGGAUAUUUUUCAUCAGAAUAUCAUAAAAAAUCAGGCAAUGGUAGUAAGGUUCAGAUAAUAUACAUUGUAUUUAUUAUCAUAAGAGAGUAAGAUCCUUAUAUUACCUGUGUAGCUGCGCACCGAGAUUUUUAUGAUAUAUAUUUUCCCUUUUGCUUGAUCUCUGAGACCAAAAAUAUACAUCAGUACAAAGCUAUUAUUAAUUCUUAUUUAUGUUUUAUAUUGGUAAAUGUUCUCCAUGACAAAACAAAAUACAUAGGAUUAUUUCUCAUUUAUGCUUUAUGUGUGUAAAUCUACCAUUAGUUUUCUGUUCUGGGUACAUUUGUCUUGGUAUUGGUAAAGAAACUAUUCAGGUGAUGUCAAUAUGUACAUGUGUACAUCUAUUGUGAACAGUUAGUUCAUAUUACUAUACUUAAAUUAUUAGUCCAAGACAUUGCAUUUAAAAAGAUUAGCUGAAGCCGCCAUGGUUCCUAUCCGUAUUCCAAAAGGUAUAUUGAUUUUGAUGACCUUUAUCUGUGCCCUUUUGUCGUUAGUUGGCACAUGUAAACCUAGAACAAAUGGUACAUGUAGAUCUUUUUUCCCAAGCGAAGAAUACUAUUUUGAUAACCGUAUUUACCA